rnacentral:rRNA from 1 species
CAGCCGCCGCGGGAAUACGUAGGUGGCCAGCGUUGUCCGGAAUUAUUGGGCGUAAAGCGCGCGCAGGCGGAUAGGUCAGUCUGUCUUUAAAGUUCGGGGCUUAACCCCGUGAUGGGAUGGAAACUGCCAAUCUAGAGUAUCGGAGAGGAAAGUGGAAUUCCUAGUGUAGCGGUGAAAUGCGUAGAUAUUAGGAAGAACACCAGUGGCGAAGGCGACUUUCUGGACGAAAACUGACGCUGAGGCGCGAAAGCCAGGGGAGCGAACGGGAUUAGAUACCCGUGUAGUCCCUGUCUCUUAUACA